GACGAACGCUGGCGGCGUGCUUAACACAUGCAAGUCGAACGCUGAAGCUUGGUGCUUGCACUGGGUGGAUGAGUGGCGAACGGGUGAGUAAUACGUGAGUAACCUGCCCUUGAUUCUGGGAUAAGCCUGGGAAACUGGGUCUAAUACUGGAUACGACAUGUCACCGCAUGGUGGUGUGUGGAAAGGGUUUUACUGGUUUUGGAUGGGCCCACGGCCUAUCAGCUUGUUGGUGGGGUAAUGGCCCACCAAGGCGACGACGGGUAGCCGGCCUGAGAGGGUGGCCGGCCACACUGGGACUGAGACACGGCCCAGACUCCUACGGGAGGCAGCAGUGGGGAAUAUUGCACAAUGGGCGGGAGCCUGAUGCAGCGACGCCGCGUGAGGGAUGACGGCCUUCGGGUUGUAAACCUCUUUCAGCACGGAAGAAGCGAAAGUGACGGUACGUGCAGAAGAAGCGCCGGCUAACUACGUG
rnacentral:rRNA from 1 species